rnacentral:rRNA from 1 species
UACGGAGGGGGCUAGCGUUGUUCGGAAUUACUGGGCGUAAAGCGCACGUAGGCGGCUUUGUAAGUUAGAGGUGAAAGCCCGGGGCUCAACCCCGGAAUUGCCUUUAAGACUGCAUCGCUUGAACGUCGGAGAGGUGAGUGGAAUUCCGAGUGUAGAGGUGAAAUUCGUAGAUAUUCGGAAGAACACCAGUGGCGAAGGCGGCUCACUGGACGAUUGUUGACGCUGAGGUGCGAAAGCGUGGGGAGCAAACAGG